rnacentral:rRNA from 1 species
CUAGCUAACUGAAAUCUUAAAUUUGAUUUAAGAUAAGGUAAGGGUAAAUAAUGAUAUAACCUUACUAUUAGUGUCGUCUAAAUUUGGUGCCAGAAGACUCGGUAAGACCUUAGACGCAAACGUUAAUCGUCAUAAUCAGGCGUAAAGGGUGUGUAGGCGGCUUUAAAACAAUAUAAAAAAAAUAUAGCUAAAGAUUUAUAUGGUAAUUAAGGCUAGAAUCUAAAAGAGGAUAACUAAACAACAUAAUUAAUUGGGACUGACAACUUAUAAUAAUGUGGAGUACUAAAGGUUAAAGCUAUUUAUCUACUUAAGAUUGACGCUCAGAAACGAAGGGGAGAAUAAGAAACUUAGAUUAGAUACCUAAUUAUCUCUCUCAGUCAACGAUGAAUGGUAGUUAUUAAAAUAUCUUUAUAUUUAUAUAUUAGUAACGAGGUUAACACGAUGACCAUUCCGCCUUGUUAGUAAGACUGCAAAGUUGAAAACAAAAAAUUA